UUAUUUGGCUCAUGAUUCUGAUGGCUGGAAAGUCCAAGAGCAUGGGGCCAGCAUCUGCUUGCUUCUGGUGAGGGCUUCUGUGCUGUGUCAUAACAUGGCAGAAGGUCAAGGGUGAAGGGAGCACGUGCAAAGGGGCAGAACAUGAGAGUUGUAAUCACUUCAUAACAGCUCGCUCUCAGAAACUAAUCCUGUCUCAUGGGAGAGAGAGGUCUCACGUGAGAGAGAGAGGUCACUCACUGACAAGAACUGUAGAAGAAUUGGCAGCAUGCUGCCCAUAUGAGCAGAGGGAGCCCCCGUGACUCAGAUGCCUCCCAUUAGGCCCCACUUCUUAAAGGUACCACCUCCCAACAUUGCUGCACUGGGAAUUAAGGUCCCAACAUGAGUUUUGGUGGGAACACUCAACUCAUAGCAUUUGGUAACAACAAGACUGUCGUUACAGUAGUCCCCCCUUAUCCAAGGUUUUGCUUUCUGGGGUUUUAGUUACCCUUGGUCAACCAUGGUCUGAAAAUAUUACAUCACUACUCUUGCCCUUUGGGGCCUUUAUUCAGUAAGGUAAGGAUUAUUUGAAGAUAAGCAUUGUGAUACCACAACAGUAGAUGUGAUAACUGAGAUGGCUACUAAGUGAUUUAUAGCAAUCCAGGCCAGAAAUGGUGGGACAGUGAGACAUUUUGUCAUGCUACUCAGAACAGCAGGCAGUUUAAAACUUAGAAAUUAUUUCUGGAGUUUUCUAUUUACAUCACAAUGCCUACAUCAUUUAUUUCAUUUCAUAUCAUCAUGAAGCCAUUGUACUAUUUCAUCAUUACCUCAAGAAGAAAGAUCUGGAUGCCUGUUCUUCUCCUGCGCUUGGACAUCAGACUCCAGGUUCUUUGGCUUUUGGACCCUGGGACUUGCACCAGGGUCCUCCCAGGAUUGUCAGGCUUUUGUUCUCAAACUGUUCUCAAGCUGCAUCAUCUGAAGCUUCCAGACUAAGCCAUGCUACUGGCUUUGCUGAUGCUCCAGCCUGCACGUGGCCUAUGGUGGGACUUUAUCUCUGUGGCAGUGUGAGCCAAUUUUCCCUAAUAAAUUCCCUUCCAUAUA
rnacentral:lncRNA from 1 species